rnacentral:tRNA from 2 species
CGCGGGGUGGAGCAGCUUGGUAGCUCGUCGGGCUCAUAACCCGAAGGUCGUCGGUUCAAAUCCAGCCCCCGCAACCA